rnacentral:RNase_P_RNA from 1 species
UGAGUAAGUCAAACAGUCGCAUGCAUUUUGCAUGAGGAAAGUCCGAGCUCCAUAGAGCACAGAUGCUGGAUAACGUCCAGUGGGGGCGACCCUAAGGAUAGUGCAACAGAGAUAUACCGCCUGAUUAUUUCAGGUAAGGGUGGAAAGGCGAGGUAAGAGCUCACCAGUAACUAGGUGACUAGUUAGCUAUGUAAACCCCAUCUGGAGCAAGACCAAGUAGAGACGAUGAAAAGUAGCUGCUCGCUACUGUCUCGUAGGUAGGUCGCUUGAACUUAUUGGCAACGAUAAGUCUAGAUAGAUGACUGUUUAAUACAGAACUCGGCUCAUAGAUUUACUCAAUAU